UGCGUAGGCGGGAUAUUAAGUCAGUGGUGAAAUCCCAUCGCUCAACGAUGGAACUGCCAUUGAUACUGUAGGACUUGAAUGCUUAGGAAGUAACUAGAAUAUGUAGUGUAGCGGUGAAAUGCUUAGAUAUUACAUGGAAUACCAAUUGCGAAGGCAGGUUACUACUAAGUGAUUGACGCUGAUGGACGAAAGCGUGGGGAGCGAACAGGAUUAGAUACCCUAGUA
rnacentral:rRNA from 1 species